GUGUUGGUGGUUCUUUGUGUCUGGGGGUGGGCGUCCGGGUACACACCGGCUCACUCCUUGGCGGCCGCUUGUCGGGGCCUGGGGCCUGGGGCUCGCUCGGGCCCCUUUGGAGGUGGGGUGCCCCCGGCCUCUCGGCCUGGGGCUCGGUCACUCAGGCGCAGCUGGGGGCCGGCGGAGCUCACGGGCGCGUCACUGCAACUCCCCCUGACUUCUGCUCCGCGGCUGCUGGGCGAGCCCUCAUCUGGGACUCUCCUCGGCUCUUACUGGGACAGUGGCGCGGCUGCCCCUCUGUUGGUCUUCCAUGGUCUCUUGUGUUCUGGGGGCCUCUGGAUGUCUGGAGUUUUGAUCUCCUCCAUACCCGCUUCACACCCUGGAGGACGGGGCUGUGGCCCCCCCACACUCCCUAGCAGAUCAUUACAUGGAGAAACCUUUGGAAUGCAAGCAUGCUGAUCCACACAGGUAUGCACACAGACGCGGACUAAAGCUUUCUUGGCUGCUGCCUCAAAGCACACUGUGCGCUGUCUAUCUUGCGUGCUGCACAAUAUCGUUUAUUAUUUAGUAAAUAUUGAUAUCUAUGACUAGCUAGUUUAUUGUGAUGGUGCUUUGUUUUCUCUAUUAUUAUGUUGCUCUUUGUUGUUUGCUGUCUCCUCUGUUUGUUUUUGUUUGUUUUUUUUUUUUUUUCUCCAUACAGGUGACCCAGGAGUUUUUUUUUUUUUUUCUCUCUCUUCCCCCCCCUUCUCACCGUCUCUUCUCCCCUUUGGUUUUCUUUCUUUCUCUCCCCCUCUUUCUCUCAUUCAUUCCCCCUGUCCUAUUUAUUAAAAAAAAAAAAAAAAAAAAAAAAAAAAAAAAGACAAAGGAUGAACUGAAGCUCUGCCAUCACGUAAUGUCGCAUACUGCUGUUUCUGAUGUCAUUUAGAAAAAAAAAAAAAAAAAAAAAAAAAGAAGCAUGGCGGUCUCCACAAACCGACCCCGCUGCUAAGAUCUGUUAUAAAAACACUGAAACUGUAUCCAUGAUAUUAUAAUUUCCUAUUUAAAGGUGAUGAGAAAACAAAAUAUAAAAUAUCAAAAACUGUGGCUAAUUCACAGCAAAUAUAUAAGUGACUCAUAUCAAAACUAAAAUCAUGGUCAAAUCUAAAAAUAAUAUAAAAUAGUCCCAAAUAAUAAAUUCUACAACCACAAUGCAAACUAUACAAAAGGUCUGGCAAAUUAAAAUCAUGUUCAUGGAUAACUGUGCAUAACUGCUAAAGAGAAAGAGGAAACAAGAGAAUACUGUUACACUUUUGUAAGACUAAAGUAACAGCAUUGACAGAUUUUGGCUUUAAGCAUAGAAAAUAGUGUUAAAAAGGCUGGUUUAGUUUAACAUUUUUUAAAAAGUAGCCAAUCAAGAACAUAUGAUGAUGAUAUCACAUGCAAACUAUAAUUGACUAUUUUAGUCAGUCCUUACCCUCGAACAGCUGCCAGACUACAUCCCCACUUUACUUUUCUAUUCAUAGACACAUGCAUGCUUCUAUUCAAACCUUUCUCAUUUGAUCCAUAUGGCUGUUCAUGCCCCCUCCUCACCCCUUAUGGUAAAAUCCUAACCUCAGCAGUGUUCUGUGUCAUGCCUCC
ensembl:lncRNA